AUGGGAACGCGAAGAACCUUACCUACUCUUGACAUCCAGAGAACUUAGCAGAGAUGCUUUGGUGCCUUCGGGAACUCUGAGACAGGUGGUGCAUGGUUGUCGUCAGCUCGUGUCGUGAGAUGUUGGGUUAAGUCCCGCAACGAGCGCAACCCUUAUUACUAGUUGCUACCAUUAAGUUGAGCACUCUAGUGAGACUGCCCGGGUUAACCGGGAGGAAGGCGGGGAUGACGUCAAAUCAUCAUGCCCCUUAUGUCUAGGGCAACACACGUGCUACAAUGGUGAGUACAGAUAGAUGCGAUACCGCAAGGUGGAGCCAAACUCUAAAACUCAUCCCAGUUCGGAUUGUAGGCUGCAACUCGCCUACAUGAAGUUGGAGUUGCUAGUAAUCGCGAAUCAGAAUGUCGCGGUGAAUACGUUCCCGGGUCUUGUACACACCG
rnacentral:rRNA from 1 species